UGAUCGAGUUUUUGUUGAACUAGCGGAGGGACCAAUCAGACAUAUACAAUUAGGCUCUAGUGAUUGCAAUUAUGUCUAGAAGCACCGUUCUGAUAGUUCGCAAUUACCUAAUCAUGGAGUCAGUCCACACGAAGUACCAUGAUUAAAAACUCCUUAUUGUAUACUCUUUAUGAAAGCAAUUAAUCUAACUACUUUGUCCAAUAACCUCGUCAUGUGUG
rnacentral:lncRNA from 1 species